GCCAGCGUGGUGUAGUGGUUUGAGCUUUGGACUGUGACUCCAGAGACCAGGGUUCGAAUCCUGGCUCAGCCA